AGGCAAUCGCUUUAUAUUUAUUAUAAAGAGGAAAGUCCGAACUCCAUAGAACAAUAUGCUUCGUAAUGCGAAGGCGGUAAAUUAUAAUGAUUUACUGACGGAUAGUGCCGCAGAAAAUAUACAGCCUUUAUAGGCAAUGGUGAAAAGGCAGUGUAAGAGACUACCGCAUAUUUGGUGACAAAUAUGGCAUGGUAAACCACAUAUGGAGCAAAGUUAAAUAUAGAAACGUGUUCUUUUUAAGACCGCAGUUUGUUCGAUUGUGUAGUUUUUCUAGCGUUUCAGGGUAAACUGCUAAAGAAUAAUGGCAACAUUAUUUUUAGAUAAAUGAUUGCCUCCCAUUUAAUGGAAGACAGAAUUCGGCUUAUUCU
rnacentral:RNase_P_RNA from 1 species